CUCAGAGCUUCAAGCAGUUCGAUUUUGUCUAAAGGGAUCCAUACUCGAAGGGAAUUGAUCCUGAUGCAUUGAAAACUUCUCUAGCUGCUGCAUGUGGAGCGUUAACAUCCAAUAAGAAGCUAGAAGAAUCAAGACAUGAGAAGCCAUCUGAAACAGAACCAGACCAACUUGCUGAGGAUGUUAAGUCGGCUCCUUCUCCAGAUGGGGAAGUGGGAACUGGAGGACAAACAAAUGGAAAGAAGACUUUAAUAGAUGCAGUGAAGCCCAAGCAUAAGAGAAAAAAGAAGUCAUCCUCCAACGUUGAUGCAAGUUAGCUGAAUGAAAAAAUAUAUCUAGAUGGUGGCAACAAUGACAUCCAGUGGGAAAUCUCUUUGCUACAAUCUGCCAGUACUAGAA